rnacentral:rRNA from 1 species
UUUAUUUAUUUAUUUUUAAUAUUAAAUUUUUCUUAGAUGUUAUAAGACAUUUAUAUACAAGAAAGACGACAAGACCCUAUUAAACUUAACUUAAGUUAUACUGGGGAAGUACAUUAAUUAUUAUUUUAAUCAAAAUCUUUAUAAACAAAUCUUUUUAAUUAAAUAAUCAAGUUACUAUAGGGAUAACAGCGCAAUUAAUUUUCAAAGUUCAUAUUUAAAAAAUAGAUUACGACCUCGAUGUUGAAUUAAUAUUCUAAAUUAAAGCAAAGAUUAAUAUAAGAAAGUCUGUUCGACUUUUAAAAAAUUACAUGAUUUGAGUUCAGACCGGUAUAAGCCAGGUCGGUUUCUAUCUUCUUAAUACUUUUAUCUAGUACGAAAGGACCUAUAAAUAUAAUUUAAUUAUAUAAUUGGCAGAAAAAUGCAUUAGAAUUAGAAUCUAAUUAUAAU